AGCUUCUCAUCUUGCAUUCAUGAUGGGGGCGAGGGAGUGGAGAGGAGGCUGAGGCACCACGACAGAAAACCCUCACCUGGGAGGGGUGCCGAAGGCGGCUAAUGAAGUCACCUUGAUUCGUGUCCUUUUUCCCUGACCUUACUUUCCCUUCCGUCUAUUCCUCUCGCCCCAGGCCGUUACUGGGUAGAUGUAAGGAGUGGAGAGGCUGGGGAAGUGACCAGAGACUCGUGGGUUAGACCCGUCUUGGGUUCUUAGUCACCACCUCUAACCCUGUCGGUCAUUGAUGAGGCUCUUCGUCAGAUUGGGCAGAGGACGAUAAGCACUGCUUCCCGCAGGCAUUUUAAAAAUAAAGUUCCGGAGAAGCAAAAACUGUUCCAGGAGGAUGAUGAAAUUCCACUGUAUCUAAAGGGUGGGGUAGCUGAUGCCCUCCUGUAUAGAGCCACCAUGAUUCUUACAGUUGGUGGAACAGCAUAUGCCAUAUAUGAGCUGGCUGUGGCUUCAUUUCCCAAGAAGCAGGAGUGACUUCAGUCAUCCCAGCAAUCGCUUGGUUCAGUUUCAUUCAGCUCUCUAUGGACCAGUAAUCUGAUAAAUAACCGAGCUCUUCUUUGGGGAUCAAUAUUUAUUGACUUGUAGUAACUGCCACCAAUAAAGCAGUCUUUACCA
rnacentral:lncRNA from 1 species